UACGGUAGGUGGCGAGCGUUGUCCGGAUUUACUGGGCGUAAAGAGCGCGCAGGCGGUCGUUCAAGUCGCGUGUGAAAGCCCCCGGCUCAACCGGGGAGGUCGUCGGGGACCGCACCGCUUGAGGGCGGUAGGGGCUGGUGGAAUGCCUGGUGUAGUGGUGAAAUGCGUAGAGAUCAGGCGGAACACCCGUGGCGAAGGCGGGCCAGCUGGGCCGUCCCUGACGCUGAGGCGCGAAGGCGUGGGAGCAACAGGGAUUAAGAA
rnacentral:rRNA from 1 species